rnacentral:RNase_P_RNA from 2 species
ACUGCAAGCUAUGCUAUCGAUCCUGAUACUCUUUUCACCUUACGGUGAAUUAGGGUUGUUAGGGUAGGAAAGUCCGGACAGCGCAGAGCAACGUACCGGUUAACAGCCGGCUCCCGGGUUUCCGGGACGAGACAGUGCCACAGAAAAUAACCGCCAGUUAGAUGUUUUCAUCAAACUGGUAAGGGUGAAAAUGUGGGGUAAAAGCCCACAACUGUUAUUAGUAAUAAUAAGAGGGGGUAAACCUUGCGUGCUGAAAUGCCAUGUAUACCAACGCCUGAGGGCUGCUCGCCCGAUGUUGGGUGGGUAGGCAGAUACAUUCCUGUAGCAAUACAGGAAGCAGAUAAAUGAUAGCAGCUUUGAUGUUCGCAUUAAAGUACAGAAACCGGCUUACAGGCUUGCAGUAUUU